GGAUUCGUGGCCCAGUGGUAAGGCGCUCGCCUUCGAUAUAGGCGUAGCGAGAGAUCGUCGGUUCGACCCCGGCCGGAUUCA
rfam:Melampsora larici-populina 98AG31 unplaced genomic scaffold MELLAscaffold_39, whole genome shotgun sequence.